ensembl:lncRNA
UGUUAGUUGUAGCAGUAUUAAUGUCCAAUAGGGGAGGCAAUUUCACUUUCAAAGCAAUGCUUGUUAUUAAAGUGUCUGCCCACUUCUUCUUCCAUGGUCCAGAAUGGCCCGUGGGAAAACUGCAUGACAUUAAAACAUUGUUUUUUAGCUCUAUGGUUAUGAAAACCCACAGAAACAUAACUUUGAUUAUUUUGAUUGGGUGUUUUUUGUUGUUGUUGUUGUUGUUGUUGUUUGUUUUAAAUCAGAUAGUUUAAUCUGUCCAUCUAACUGUCACUGCUACAAAAAGAGACACAUCUGUACAGUCCAGUAAAUCCUCUCAAUUCAAUUAGGAUUUCUCAGUUCUCUUCCAUUUUCUUUUACAUCAUUAAUUUCAUACAGCACAUUUUGUAUCUUUACAAUGCCUCAUCACAUGCCUACAUCCUGGGGAGACCUGGUAACCUCCAGUCCUCCAUCCUACCUACCCACACAAGCGCAUACACACCUCCUCGACCUCACACUUCCUCUUCAAGCCUCUUUCAGUUCCACUCACUUACACCCCCCCCCCCCCCCCCCCACCUCUUUCUUUAUAAAAGCGCCAGUGCUUGCUAAUCUGUCAAUCAGAUGUUGUCCUGUUGUGGCGAUGAUGGGGGUCCGUGACGGUGUUCCACACACCUCCUGCAGCUCGCAGCUCGGCGAGUAGCUCGAUGAUUAACCAGGCAGGUACUGAGUCAAACUGCUGACAGCAUAAACACACUGACAGCUGAUUUGAAAGACAAUGCUCCCACUCCCUCCACUUAACUUGUCAUGGCAGUCAAAGCACCUUCUCACUAAACUUGUGGCAUAUUAGGCAAAGAUGGAGGGAAACACUGAUUUAUAGCAUCACACUCAUAAAUGGUCACACAUAAACAAAACAAAAAAAGAAAUACUUAUAAGCAUUUCCAAAUAUUCAUAAGUGCUUAUGUUUGCACAAAAAAUCUGAUCAAUUAUUGAAAUUAUAAAGAACAACUAGUGAAUAGUUGAUAACUGUAAAAAGAAAAAUGCAGCUACCAGGGAAAGAUUUUCACAUUUCCUAUUUUAACUGUAUCUUCAAAAGUGAAGGCCAGAAACAGCAGCACAGCAUUUCCUUGUCUCUCCUGGAUUAAUAGUCCAACACUUCCCAAUUAUUAACCAUGUCUGUUUUGUACCAUUCAUAUUCAAAGCUAUUUGCCUCCCUACACUUCCUGUGCUUUGUAUUCUGAGUCUUUACAGGAGGGAAUGGACGAUCCAGGCAGAUCUGUCACUCAAACCGCAGCCCCCGACCACCAGUCGCUGCCCAACAAACUGUCGUCCAUAUACCUCCAUCGGCUCCGGUACCUCCUCGGCUCAAUGAGUAACUAACCUGCAGAGCUGUAGGCCUCCUGUGGAGCAGCCGCCCACUCGCCCUCCUUACUUCUCCCCAGGCAGCCUCUAUCUCUUCUGGGUUCCCGGAGCAAUGAUUAACCCGGUUCUGAUCAAUGCUUCUGCUGACUCUGAUACAUCACUGGUGCCUUGCAGCUGCCAUGUAAAGGAAGCGUCAAGUCUGUGCUGCUCAUGACAGAGUAUAUCCACUCCAUCACUUAGAUCAGGACAUGCAAUCAGACACACAAAUGCACACACACACUGCACUUUUUAGUCGUUCUGGUUAUGUUUCACGUAUGCAGUAUAUUUUAUCUUGGUGUUUGGUUUAAGGGACUAGUGUGGGUUAUUUGAGAUGACACAAAUGAAACCACGUUUAAAACUAGAGGAACUUUGGCCAGUGUUUAUAGCUGAAAGGUAAAAUCUGUUCAUUAUUUCAGGCCUUUAAAUGGGAGUGAGUUUCUCUGCUAAACUUGGGCGUCGGGAUGUUAUUUUACUAAAAUACUUUUUUGUGUGUGUGUAAGCAUUUUAUGAGGACGAACAUAAAGAGCGCUUAACAAAGUGAGAUAAACAUAGAAACAGAGAAGAGAAUAAAAAGAAGAACGAAGAGAGGGACCGUCGCUCAUCACCCAGCGGUCCUUUACCUCGACAGCAGGGGGAAGACCUGAUUUCCUGAAGAUGACAGGAAACACAAUAGCAGAGUGUUCUGUCAGCACAUCCUUCUCAGAGAGCCAGGUUAAUGAUUCUGCAGCCACAGCUGAGCUGGAGAGAGGGAUGAACGGUGGGAGGAACGGGGAAGAGAAAGAGGUGGAGGGAGCUGGCACUCAGCUACACUUAGGCCCUCAUUACAGCUGUAUUAGGAAUGAUAGUGUGUUUUUGUCAUUUUAAUUACCUUUAAUCUGAUGUCUUCAUACUCGGGCCGUUCAUUAAUGAGGCAGAACAAAAACUACAUGUCACACGUGUUUAGCUUGUAUCCGUGCUAUCAGUCACACAGUUAACAUGGGAAAAAUGUUCAGUGACUUCAUGAAGAGUGCUGCUGCUCAGCAGAAAGUUGAAAUCAUUGGUGAAAAACAAUUAUGGCACUUUUCCCCUUUAUUCUCUAUUGCAUUUUAUAUAUACAUAUAUAUACUCUGUAUUAGAUCAAUUAGCA